UACGGAGGAUCCAAGCGUUAUCCGGAAUCAUUGGGUUUAAAGGGUCCGUAGGCGGCCUUAUAAGUCAGUGGUGAAAUCUCCCGGCUCAACCGGGAAAUGGCCAUUGAUACUGUAGGGCUUGAAUUAUUAGGAAGUAACUAGAAUAUGUAGUGUAGCGGUGAAGUGCUUAGAUAUUACAUGGAAUACCGAUUGCGAAGGCAGGUUACUACUAAUUGAUUGACGCUGAUGGACGAAAGCGUGGGUAGCGAACAGG
rnacentral:rRNA from 1 species